rnacentral:rRNA from 1 species
UGAGGAACAUGACCUUCGGCGGGGGAUAGCCGGCCCAACGGCCGGGUAAUACCGCGUACGACCACAUGGGGACAUCCCUGAGUGGUGAAAGCAGCAAUGCGCCGAUGGAGUGCCUCGCGGCCUAUCAGCUAGUUGGUGAGGUAACGGCUCACCAAGGCGACGACGGGUAGCUGGUCUGAGAGGAUGGCCAGCCACAUUGGGACUGAGACACGGCCCAGACUNUACGGGAG